UUUGUCUCAAAAAAAUACCAAAAACCAAAAACAACAAAAACAAAAAACAUCAAAAGACUAUGAGAAACAGUGAUUGGAUGUUUGGGGUGUGGAUAUCGGAAUCUGGAGCUGGGGACAGGUGUGUCAUUUGAUAGUCCCUUUUGAGAACCACUGUUGAUCUAAAGCUAUUCCAGUUCCCUAGGGGAUUGCUAAUAACCGGUGCAGCUGCUGAGACAGGGAAAGGGGCCUAAUUCCUUUUGCAAAACAAGGAGCAAUAUUUAUAUGAGAACUCAGUACAUUUCAUCACAUAAAAAUUGCAAAACGCCAGGCUCUGUCAUUUUUAAACUAAUAUUUUUGGGAGUCCACCAAACAGUCUCUAAGAUGGAACUGAUUGUGAAUAUGCUGGUGCCAGGUGCAAUGGCUCACACCUGUAAUCCCAGCUACUUGGGAGGCUGAGGUGGGAGGAUCACCUGAAGCCAGGAGUUCGAGGCCAGCCUGGGCCUCUCUAAAAAAAAAAAAGCUGUAAGUCAAAUGAUAUAGCCUCUAGAAGCCACAGUUUGCUCAUUUACAAACUGGAGGAGAAUAAGAUGAGAAUUGUCUGAUAUUGAGGAUCAGAAAGUGCUUCAUGAUGCAUAAAGCAGGUAAUGGAUUAUCAAUGCUUUGCUGCUCAGACACACAGCAAUGGGUUCAUACCAUUCUGAGAGUCUAAAUUUAGGACGUGGUGUGACCAAAAUUACCAGUAAUUAAGUUUCUUAUGUUUCUGAGGCUCUGCUUCCUCAUCUGUACACUGUGGCAAGACCUUGUUCUGACUAUGCACUGAGGAUAAAAUAAGGCCUUUUGAAAAAGAUGAUGACACUGACCACUAAUUAAUGAUUUCAAUGUUCCCGUCCAAGGUCAGGCAAAAGCAAUGCAGAGCCAUAGAGAAUGUUGGUGCAACACUGCCCUCUGCUGGUCAGUAGCAGCACCACCAUGGUUACAGAGAGGAAAAGGUCUUUACAAAGGGAUUCCUGGGAAACUGAGGCAGAGAGUGGAAGGGAUUUGCUCAAGGGCACAGAGUUAGCUUUGGACAAAGUGAUGGCUCGAAUCUGAGAUUCCUAAUUCCUAGUUCUUUCUAGAGGGAGAAAAAUAAGGGCUGGAAACUAGUGGAUUGUCGUUUCACUCUCACUAGGCUCUGCACGGCAUUUUAAAUAGGCUGAUUGGAAUUUCUCUCUCCUGUUCUUCCCUUGCCACCCAAACUGCUCGGGUUUCUUGUCCUUUUCUUCAUACCAGGAUAACCAUCUGUGUGGCCCCAUAAGGCCCAAAGUCCUCUUGGGUGCUGCCGGAGGUCCAACAACCAGUAAAGCACGGAAGCUGGGAUCUGAACACUCACUUGAGACCCCAAGGCCCACAAUCUAUUUGCCACCAAAAAACAAGACAAAGCAAAACACCAUGACAGGAAAACCGAGUUGCAGACAAAUGAAAGUGACUUACCUCAGGGCCUUUGCAUGUGACAUCCUCUCUGCCUGGAAUGCUCUUCUCAGAUAUCACCUUGGCAUCCCCCAUCACCUUCUUAAGGUCUUCACUUAAAAGUCAUCAUCUGGCCGGGCGCGGUGGCUCACCCUGUAAUCUCAGCACUUUGGGUAGGCCAAGGACUGGAUCCUGGACCUGCCCCUGGGACUUGCGGAAGGGGACAGCUCAAUCUGAGCCAUAUCAACUGAGAACACAGGAAGCAUGGUCCUACCAAGAGAUGUCUAUUCCAGGUAUGGUGGAGCCUCAGAGGACAGCAUGACUCUCGUUCAGCUGGUGGAUCAGGGAAUGGUCCAAUAAGCCACAGCUGUGGAUAUGAAGAUCUUGUGAAAUCAGUGACCUCUGGGUCAUGUAGAAACCCAGCACAUUCCCACAGGACACAGCCUAGCAGUUGAUCAGAGCAGUAGUUCAUACCUGAGACCCUGGAUUUUCAGACCCUCCCCCAGGCCCCACCAGCCUCUGUCAGUGCCAAGCUGGACGGAACAAACCACAUGAGGUUGGUCAGGCCUCUACCCCAUGGAAAAACACAGAAUGGUGAUUUUUUGCCUGUACAUUCCUGGACAAAUAAAUUCUCUUUUGGGAGCUUUUUCCUGGCUGGGCUAUGUUAUAUGCCUCAGAGCUGCCCAGAUCCCCUGGAAACCCAAAGAUUUCCUUCCAUGUGUAGGACUCAUUCAGCCCCAGCUCAGAGGACUGUUUCAUGGGUACUGGUGGCAGGAAUUCUUGGUUGUCUUCAAUGUCUGGCUCCCUGAUUUUCGGUAGGGAACAUGGUCAGCAGAAUGAGGAUGGCAUUUCCUACCUUCUACUGCAGGUGGGCAGAACCAAGGUGCCCUCCCUACACCUUCCUGGGGCCUCCAGCGAUCCUGAGCUCAGCCUCCUGACCUGCAGACCCCUCAGCUCUGGCCCUCACGUCCUGCUUGCUGUACCUGCUUUAUCCCAUAUCACCAUCUCCAUUCCUCAGCAUAGUGACAAUCCCAGUUCCUACCCAUUCCACUGGCUUCUCCAUUUGGCUUGGAGCUCUUUAGCUGGAUUGAGACGACUACUCUGAUGAGUGCCAUGUCACUGGCUCAACAAAAUGGGCCCAAGUGAGUCAAUGUCAUUGACAUGAAGGUGCUGUCAGUUUGGUGGGAACCAAGGGAAUGAGACUGUGUUUUAGCUGCGUUCGUUUGAACAGUUACACACUUAGGGCUUCUUAUGCGGAUGCUCAGAGAGAAAUAUGGAAGACGAGAUCUCGUAGAAAACAAGAAGACAUGUUGUAAAUGAGUCAGGCCUCCUGGAGUCCAGGACUAGGGAGGAACUCUUUAUUGAGGAUCACUCGAGGGAGUCUUGGGGCUGGUGGUCUUCACGCCACAGCCCCAUAACUCAGCUCCUCUCUUCCUUCUCUCAGUCUCUCUGCUUCUGUUUUUUGUCUCAUGUCCUAAAUGUCCAACUAUUCAGCAUAACUUUAUUCUGCUUCCCCUCUCUAUCCUCUGUAGCAAAAUGCACUGUUGGAAUUACAUUUUUAUUUUUAUUUUUAUUUUUAUUUUUUUAAGACGGA
rnacentral:lncRNA from 1 species